UUUUUAUUAUUAUAGUUUUGUUUUUACUGUUGUUAGAAACACUUAUAGCUGCUGGUGAAGCUAAAUCUGAAGCCAAUAUGGAAUUCCCUGAUGGAUGAAUCAUUAAAUCCAGCAUAAGAAUCUGACUAUAUUAAAUAAAUUGCACAGCUUUAUGAAGUAUAGGAGAUAGAAAUAUAUAAAGCUUUCAAUAUCAUUCAGCAGACAUUAGUUACAUUCGUUAUUCCGAACAGAAUAAAUCAGCAGUAAAUAUGAUUUCUCCAAGAUUAGUUCUAGUAUUUGCUUUGAUAGCUGUAACGGUUGUUGUUGCUCUACCAGUGCCGGAAACAAAUACACUUGAUUCAAAUAUAAUUGAAACAAUAGAAAAUUUAAAAAAAUCUGUUCGUGCAGAAAAUAAAAUUCCAGUAGUGAAAAUAACUUUUAGAGAACUCAAAACACGAAAUUGUGUGCCAAGACCUCAAAUAGAAAAUGGAGAAGUUAUAUACAAUGAAUAUCAGCAAGUCUGUGAUUAUUAUAUUGUUGAGUAUUAGUUAAGAAACAUAAAAUGUAUUACUAUGCUUAAAAUUUUAAACUAGUCAAUAUAAUUCUAAAUAUUAAUAUAUUUGACCAUAAGCUAUUCGCAAACCAUUUAUAUAUUUUGUACUUAAACAAAAAUUAUGAAUUAUUGCUAAAGUAAGUUAUUUAUUAAACUUCGAUAGAAGUAAAAAUAUGGAAUAAAAGUUAAUUGUAAAAUGA